GUCCAUAAUCAUUGCCUUCAUUCUUAUCGACCAUAAGUUACAAGGAUACAGAUAAUAGGCAUACCUCUUCAUAAUAACGUAUCGACACAGACAUAUAACCAUGCAUAUAACACAUAUCAGACAAACAAAUGUACUCCCGUGCAUACUUCACGUUUCAGUUUAACACACAGUUUCACAAAUAUGAACAAUAUCAACUAGAAUGGGAAGUUGUGUU
rnacentral:lncRNA from 1 species